rnacentral:tRNA from 1 species
GGUCUGUUAGCUCAGCUGGGAGAGCGCAUGGGUCACAACCAUGAUGUCGUGGGUUCGAGCCCCACAUAGACCACCA